rnacentral:lncRNA from 1 species
AAGAAAAAGUGGACUGUGCAUUAUCCAAACAUUCCAUUAGCUAUACGCUCAGUACCCCACGGAGAAGGACUGCCGGUUCCUGAUGCACCAGAAUCAUUCUCACUUGAGUCAGAUGAGGAAGAGGAUGAAACUUCUGGUCCUGAACCAUCAAUGUCACAGGACCCACAUUUUCUCCCAUCCUCCUCCUCUGAACCACACCUCAUAACACAAGGUGAACUGAAUGACAUUGUCAGAGAUUUGGAAGUACCCAUGAGUAAGGCAGAGCUGUUGGGCUCCAGACUACAGCAGUGGAAUCUCCUGGCAGGUGAUGUUAGGAUUUCCAUGUUCUGUGACCGUCAAAAGGAUCUUGUCCCAUUCUUCUUCAUGGAAGGUGAACUUGUAGCCUGCAACAACAUCAAUGGUGUGAUGGCAGCCCUCAACAUCGGUCACGAUUCAGAUGAGUGGAGACUGUUCAUUGAUUCAUCGAAGACGAGUCUUAAAGCUGUUUUACUGCAUAAUGGCAAUGUUUUGCCAUCAAUUCCAGUUGGUCAUGCAGUCCAUAUGAAGGAAACCUAUGACAACAUGAAACAACUUUUGAGGUGCAUAAAAUAUGACCAACAUCAGUGGCAGCUUUCUGGCGAUUUGAAGGUUGUUGCUCCCUUGUUUGGUCUGCAGACUGGAUACACAAAGUACUGCUGUUUUCUCUGCGAAUGGGAUAGUCGUGCAAGAGAUUCCCACUACAUCAAGAAAGAUUGGCCACUCCGACAGUCAUUGGAGCCUGGGAGGAAAAGUGUUCAGCAUCCACCACUUGUUGAAUCAGGGAAGAUUUUGUUACCACCCUUGCACAUGAAGCUGGGUCUGAUGAAGAACUUUGUCAAGGCCAUUGACAAAACACAAGCAGCUUUCAAGUACCUUGGUGGAAAAUUUCCAAGGUUAAGUGAAGCUAAGAUAAAGGAAGGUGUCUUUGUUGGUCCUCAGAUUCGUGAACUUCUUCGAGAUGAUGCAUUUGACCAUGCACUGCGUGGCAAGGAAAAGACAGCAUGGAAAGCCUUCCAGUUAGUGGCAAUACAUUUUCUCAGAAACAACAAGGCAGACAACUACAGGUUGUUGGUGGAAACCUCCUCAAGGCAUACAAAAUCCUUGGUUGCAACAUGUCACUAAAGAUAAAUUUUUUGCACUCUCAUCUAGAUUUUUUUCCACCGAACUGCGGAGCAGUGAGCGACGAGCACGGCGAGCAAUUUCACCAGGACAUUGCA